rnacentral:rRNA from 1 species
UACAGAGGUCUCAAGCGUUGUUCGGAUUCAUUGGGCGUAAAGGGUGCGUAGGCUGCGAGGUAAGUCUGGUGUGAAAUCCCGGGGCUCAACCCCGGAACUGCACUGGAUACUGCUUUGCUAGAGUACUGGAGAGGGAACUGGAAUUUACGGUGUAGCAGUGAAAUGCGUAGAUAUCGUGAGGAACACCAGAGGCGAAGGCGGUUACCUGGACAGUUACUGACGCUCAGGCACGAAAGCAUGGGGAGCAAAAGGG